rnacentral:rRNA from 2 species
GGUGACGGCCAGGGCGGUGGGGAAACACCCGGUCUCAUCCCGAACCCGGAAGUUAAGCCCACCAGCGUGCCGCGUGGUACUGUGCGCCGGGAGGGGCACGGGAAGCGCGGCUCGCCGUCUACC